rnacentral:rRNA from 1 species
UACGUAGGGGCCUAGCGUUUGUCCGGAUUUAUUGGGCGUAAAGAGCGUGUAGGCGCCAGGUAGGUCUGCUGUGAAAACUCGAGGCUUAACCUCGAGCUGUCGGCGGAAACCAUCUGGCUAGAGUCCGGAAGAGGAGAAUGGAAUUCCCGGUAUAGCGGUGAAAUGCGCAGAUAUCGGGAAGAACACCCGUGGCGAAGGCGGUUCUCUGGGACGGUACUGACGCUGAGGAGCGAAAGCGUGGGGAGCGAACAGG